CAUUUCUAUAUAAAUGUCAUGUACAUUAUGUUCACACAGUGAAUACUUCAAAAUGAGAAGGACAUGCUACAACAAAACAGACUGGGUGAAUGUGAGACUUCGAGGAGGAGUACUGACACAUCCAUUUCAACGUGAUGGUUCUAGCUGCGGAGUAAUGAUGGCCAAAGCAGUAAUGGAAGCAUUCCCAAAUAAACCAGAAAUGACAUUUUUGACGACAAAAAAAGAGAUGGCCCAGGCACGAAGGACAUUUGCACAGACAAUACUUGAGGCCUCAGUAUUUGACAGUGACACCAACUGUGCCAUGUGUGCAACAGCGAAACCACCCAAUCCAGGACCCUCCAUCACUGACUGGUGUUAAGGUUCAAAAAUAUAGGGAAGUAAAUACCCGGACCGCGGCCUCAUCUCUAGUGCCCUAACACAAUUUAAAAGCGUCAACCAACUCAACCCCUGCCGAAAAGCCCUAUUUUGGCCUUCCUCAGCCAAGGCUUUCCCGAAGUUUUAAGUCUUAAGGUUACACGCCUGAAACCCGGUUCCU